rnacentral:rRNA from 1 species
UACGUAGGGAGCAAGCGUUGUUCGGAUUUACUGGGCGUAAAGGGCGCGUAGGCGGCAAUUCAAGUCAUCUGUGAAAUCUCCGGGCUUAACUCGGAACGGUCAGAUGAUACUGCUUUGCUAGAGUGCAGAAGGGGCAAUCGGAAUUCUCGGUGUAGCGGUGAAAUGCGUAGAUAUCGAGAGGAACACCAGAGGUGAAGGCGGGUUGCUGGGCUGACACUGACGCUGAGGAGCGAAAGCCAGGGGAGCAAACGGG